CAGCAGCCGCGGGAAUACGUAGGGUGCAAGCGUUAAUCGGAAUUACUGGGCGUAAAGCGUGCGCAGGCGGUUUGUUAAGACAGAUGUGAAAUCCCCGGGCUCAACCUGGGAACUGCAUUUGUGACUGGCAAGCUAGAGUAUGGCAGAGGGGGGUGGAAUUCCGCGUGUAGCAGUGAAAUGCGUAGAUAUCGGAAGGAACACCUGUGGCGAAAGCGGCUCACUGGACCAUUUCUGACGCUGAUGCACGAAAGCUAGGGGAGCAAACAGGAUUAGAUACCCCCGUAGUCCCUGUCUCUUAUAC
rnacentral:rRNA from 1 species